UUUCUUCUUUUCUCCCUAGAGUCAAGAAAAAAAAUGCCUAACACAUUUAGGUGCUUAAUAAUGAGUUGUUGAGUGAAUGAAAGAAUGAAGCAAAGUUCAGUCAACUGAUUAUUCCAUCUCCUUGACACAUCGCGUGGCAGAUAUUUGGAAUGCAGGGGUGGUUGCUUUGAGAAAGGAGAAAGAAGUUUUUCCAGUUCAGCACUAAGAUCCCACCACAUUGGUGAGUUUCUGGUCUAGCUACCCAGAACAAAUGCCUGCUGAUGGCUAAAGACAGAAUACUUCAUGGAAAUGUGAACUGUAGUUGAGAAGAAAUUAGGGAAAAAACCUCCCUCUCCUUGUAAGCAGAGAUACCACGGGAG
rnacentral:lncRNA from 1 species